rnacentral:lncRNA from 1 species
CUGGGACAGACCUGGAAAGGAGGAAGCGGGGAAGGAAGGUUGUCCUGUCGGGCUGGGGGCUCCCGGGAAUCCGGAGGCCAGCAGUGGAACCGCAAGGCUCUACAGGGCAGAUCUGCCUCCCGUGCUGUCUCAGCUACGCCGAGUCGUUGGCUCAGGGCGGAGGAUUUUCCUAUUGGCCGCGUUAUUUGAAUGGAAUGGAGGAUAGGUCGUGAAGUAGGUGCUGCUGGUUGAUCUUUCUAAGGAACUCAGAUGAACUUGGGCAUGUCAGAAUUAAUAACCUUUUAAAAGUGGGGUCUGUGUGGCCGAGGGUUUUAAUGGGUGGAACCAAGCAGAGGGGUUCACCCAAGCC